GACUAGUAGAAGCGUCAACCGCGACCUGCGGUGCUUCUGUUUCUAACAAAAUUGGCUGGGAUUCCGGUGGUGAACCACUACGAGGCGCGGAAACACCGCCAAGAAGUUCUUCCGAGUCACUGCCUUCGGUAUUACCAACCACUGUAAUCAUUGUUGAGCAACAAUAAAUGAAGAGUUUCAUUUACAAUUUAACUCAAAUUACGUUUUCACUACUUCAAAGUAAAUUAUAGUACAAUCAAAAAUUCUAGUUUUUUGUUCCACGUGCAUGAAGUUCUCAUCAAAGGAAAUGAAAUUGUUAUCUACGGUCGAGCGACGGCAUCGCUCGUAAACAAAAGUCAGAAUCUCAAAGGUAUCAAAGUAACAUCCUCCAUGGGUAAAGCCUAUAUUUAUAGUCAGUUUCUGAGUGCCACUCGGUACUUAAAGUUACGGAGUGUAGGAAGUAUUUUCGGACUAUUUUGAAGGGGAUGUAUAACUUUGAAUCACCAGAAAUAAAUACAACAGAUAUCACGAAAACGAUCUUACGAUCACGUUUCCCGUUUACUAACUUAAAAAAAAAAAAAGAAAAAGG